AACGCGAAGAACCUUACCUAAGCUUGACAUCCCAUUGACCUCUCCCUAAUCGGAGAUUUCCCUUCGGGGACAGUGGUGACAGGUGGUGCAUGGUUGUCGUCAGCUCGUGUCGUGAGAUGUUGGGUUAAGUCCCGCAACGAGCGCAACCCUUGCCUUUAGUUGCCAGCAUUAAGUUGGGCACUCUAGAGGGACUGCCAGGGAUAACCUGGAGGAAGGUGGGGAUGACGUCAAAUCAUCAUGCCCCUUAUGCUUAGGGCUACACACGUGCUACAAUGGGUGGUACGGAGGGCAGCCAAGCCGUGAGGUGGAGCAAAUCCCUUAAAGCCAUUCUCAGUUCGGAUUGUAGGCUGAAACUCGCCUACAUGAAGCUGGAGUUACUAGUAAUCGCAGAUCAGAAUGCUGCGGUGAAUGCGUUCCCGGGUCUUGUACACACCG
rnacentral:rRNA from 1 species